AGGGGGAAAGGGUGUCGUCAACUCUGUAGAUGCUAGAACGAGCUACUGACUGGUGGACCUCCCGUUACUAUUGCCCCACUGUCAGCUGCUAUGACUCAAGUAACAUAUACCAUGCGCUGGAUUUGUGGAAAGGGACAGAGGACGGUGGAUAGGGUCAUCGCCCUCUCCACCUCCUAGCUGGUCGAUCUGUCAUCUCCCUCGCCGUUGUGUUCCAUCCGGUCCGACCAGACCACACAGCGUGCCGCGCCGCUCCAUUGCAGCAGGCGCGUGCGCUCCCUCCUCUGUCUACUGUGCGGCGAUGCCCCGCUCCCAUACAAGCGUGCGCCCCCUCCCUCUCUGUCAACGCCAUGAUGUUGAGGCCGUCUCAUUGGAGCAAUUGGCGGAGCUCGUGCCAUCCCGUCGGCGCCUACCAUCCUCGUCCUAGUCCUACGACGGUCACCGAGAUAACCCCUCCCUCUACUGCUUCGUCCAUCUCGUCUCAACCCCAAACCCUAGCAGCAGCUUUGAUUUUUUCUCUUCUUCCCUCUGCUUCCUCCGCCUCCCAAGACUGAAACAUGGAGAUUUCUUUUCGAUGUGGCUGACUGUAGGCACCACGAUGGCCUCAGGUGACCUAGGAGGGCACGGGUUAGAUAGCAGCAGUUGGAUUCAAGCCUUUUGAGGUUCAGCUAGCCAUGCAGAAAAAAGGAUGAGCCCUUACUGAAUCAGGUUCUUUUUUUCCCUUUAAUGAGUUCGCAGUUUCUAGCUUCUUUGUUUCAUUUCCCCCCUACAGAUGCUCUAUUUCUUACCUUAGUCAGGUUGAUAUGUUAGUAAUUUUUAGUUGCAGCCUACAAGGCAAUUGUUUAUAACUUUAUAUAUCAUAAAUGUAUGAUUUGGCUACCUUACUUAUAUUGCCUCAUGUUUUACGAUAUCAGUAGGUUUGGAAAAUUAGCUCUUCAAUAAAAAAAACAAGUUGAGUUUGCCAUGAAAGCUCUGCUUAGUUUAGCAUCACACAUCUGGUAUUAUAAAGUUACAGUAACCAUAUUCUUGAAAAGAAAUGUUUAUUUGCAUGAAAAGAGACAUUGACCAUAAUUAUAUGAAAGAUAGCUUGGUUAGCUUGAAAAGGACUGCUGCUUCGAAUUGACCUGUCUGGAACAUGUGUUCCUAGAAUUUGGCGGGUCUGAAAUAAGUUCCUUUGCUUUAACUCGGUAUGUUUGUUUGCUCUAGCUGAACUGCAGUUAUAUAAUCUUUAUUCCUGUUGCAAGGUAAAGAGUUUAUGUCUGUUGUUGCCUGAAUUUUCGUGUGGUUGUUGUCUUGGCAUUGCAAAGGUGAAUUUUUGCUACUUACCACAGAGUAGUGACCAAAUAUUCUAUUUUUUCGGUUAUUGGCAUGAGUAAUCAUCCAGUCAAAAUGUGCAAACUCUUAGAAAAAUAAUAGUGCCAUAUGGCUGGCAGUUUUUAUAUGUUUUACCUAUGAUUUUUUCAAACAUUUUCUUUAAUUCUGCACAAGCGUCUAGGUUUAUAGCUUUUGGGGUCACAAUCUCAUAAUGUCACCAACUUAGUUCUAUUAGUUUGUGUUAGUUGUGGACUUGUUCAUACUGCUGCUAUCAUAUUUUACUGAGAUUGUUUUUAUCACACCUUACCAUGAAAAUUCCUUCAUUGAGAUUUGUAAAGUGACUGUUUCAGUUUAGAACCAACAGAGGAGCAACAUACAAGGUCCGUCAAUGCUCCAGCUAUCCUUAUUCAAACUGCAGUUGUAGCACCAACAGAUACACCACACAAGAAUGAUGACACCAUUUUGGCUAAGAUAAACUAUAAUCGCUUAAUUUGAUUUCUCUCCUUCACUUAUCACACUGCAAAUAGUAUUGACCUGAUAAAAUAACAGCACUUCCCUUUUCAAUAAACCAAUUUAUCCAUGUCCAACUAUAUUCCACCUAUAUGAUAUUUUGCAUCAUCUUGCUGCUCCAUCCUGCAGUCUACUAUUAAUCCAAAAGAGUCUAAGGAUGCAGUUGGUAGUUCUGCAACUAAGAUACAAAAGACUAUCGUAAGAAAAAGGUCUGUAUUGCUAACACAGAUUUAUUUUUUUAAUAUCACAUCAAAUAAAAAUCUCAUAUCUAACAUGUCUAAUUUUUAGGUCCCGCCCCUCACCUAGCAAAAAAAUUGCUAAAAAACUGUUGUUUGAUGAACACGCUGAAAAUGAAGAUGAUGGAUGUGUCCAUGACAUAGCCAAGCCUAGCGCCGAUGAUUAGAAUGAAGAUGCAGAUCAGCUCAUUUUGUGUUUUCCCAGCUGCAGGCAUGCCUAGACCUACAUUUGAUGAAUUACUAUUACACGCAGUGUAUUCAACUAUUUUAACCUAAUGCUCGGCAUUAGUUAACUCUCUUUUGGAUAUUUUAUGGCUGCAAACUGUGCUAUUUCUAAGUCCUCUGUAAUUUAUUAGUAAUCGUUUUUAUUUGGAUUAGUAUUUUGAGCUACCUACAAAAAUGUUUGGUAGCUACUAAUGCUGAUCCUCAAUUAUAAUAUAUGGCUUCACAGAACCUAUCGGCUGCACAUGCCAUUCAAUUGCUGCUGGUGUUAAGAUAUAUAUUUUCCUGAGACAAUUGCUAUUAGUUUGUUUGUCGUUCAAA